UACUGAUACACGGAUCAGACUCCUACGGGAGGCACCAGUGGGGAAUAUUGGACAAUGGGGGCAACCCUGAUCCAGCUAUGCCUCGUGGACGAUGACGGAUUUCGGUCUGUAAACUCCUUUUCUCACAGAAGAUCAUGACGGUAUCUGAGGAAUAAGCACCGGCUAACUCCGUGCCAGCAGCCUGCGGUAAUACGGAGGGUGCAAGCGUUACUCGGAAUCGCUGGGCGUAUAGCGCGCGCAUGCGGAUUGUCAACUCUUGAGUGAAAUCCUAUGGCUUAACCAUAGAACUGCUUGGGAAACUGGCAGUCUACAGUGUGGGAGAGGCAGGUGGAAUUCCCGGUGUCGGGGUAAAAUCCUGUAGAGAUCGGGAGGAAUACCUAUUGCGAAGGCGACCUGCUGGAACACACAUGACGCGGAGGCGCGAAAGCCUGGCGAGCAAACAGGACUAGAUACCUUGGUAGUCCACGCCAUAUACGAUGGAUGCUAGUUCCUGUGGCCCUCGUGGUCCCAGUAAUGCAGUUAACGCAUUAAGCAUCCCGCCUGGGGAGUAUGGUAGCAAGAUUAAAACUCUAAGGAAUAGACGGGGACCCGCACAAGCGAUGGAGCAUGUGGAUUAAUUGGAAGAUACGCGAAGAGCCUUACCCGGGCUAGACAUCCUUGAGAACCCGCUGGAUACAGUGGGCUGUAGGCUUGCCAGAACCAAGUGACAGGUGCUGCACGACCGUCGUCAGCUCUGUGUCGUGAGAUGCUGGCAUAAGUCCCGCAACGAGCGCAACCCUCGUUCCUAGGUGCCUUACGGUUCAAGCCGAGCAACUCUAAGUAGACUGCCCUCGCAAGGGGGAGGAAGCUGAGGAUGACCUCAGGUCAUCAUGGCCCGUACGUCCGGGGCAACACACGUGCUACAAAUGGGAUGGACAGUGAGACGCGAUACCGCGAGGUGGAGCAAAUCUCCAAACCAUCUCCCAGUUCG
rnacentral:rRNA from 1 species